AUUGNNAUGCCUAAACAUCANACGACCCGCGAACGCGUUUACAAACAAAUGUCCGCGUCGGGGGGCGGGGGGGAGCAUGCAAUUGCCUGCUCCCCUCCCCCUUUCGCGCGCCUAAACCAAACCCCGGCGCAGGUCGCGCCAAGGAACUUGAAAUGAAUUCGCCUGCCCCCUGCCCCGGCCUCGGCGUGCGGGGGGCGGAGCAUUCUUGUCGUAUUACUCACAACGACUCUCGGCAACGGAUAUCUCGGCUCUCGCAUCGAUGAAGAACGUAGCGAAAUGCGAUACUUGGUGUGAAUUGCAGGAUCCCGCGAACCACCGAGUCUUUGAACGCAAGUUGCGCCCGGAGCCUUCUGGCCGAGGGCACGUCUGCCUGGGCGUCACGCAUCGCUGCCCCCCCACGCAACACCCUAUAUGGGCUCGUUGCGCAGGCGGGGGCACACGCUGGCCUCCCGUGCGCACCGUCGCGCGGAUGGCUUAAAUUCGAGUCCUCGGCGCCUGUCGUCGCGACACUACGGUGGUUGAUCCAACCUCGGUACCACGUCGCGAAUUUGACGUCGCCAACUUCUGGGCUCACAACGACCCUCCGAACGCCGUCCCCCAAAGGACGACGCUCUCGACGCGACCCCAGGUCAGGCGGGACUACCCGCUGAGUUUAAGCAUAU
rnacentral:rRNA from 1 species